rnacentral:rRNA from 1 species
CCCGCUGAACUUAAGCAUAUUAUUCAGCGGAGGAAAAGAAAACAACCGUGAUUCCCUCAGUCAGGGGCGACCGAACAGGGACCGGACUCGUUGCCGAAUCGGGACCUCAAACGGUUUCGAGUUGUGGCAAAAACGCCGAUAAGUGGUUGGUGAGCGGACUGGUGAAAUUCAAUGUGCAAAGCAGACCCGUUGCUGGACACAACCUCUCAUGUGAGUAUUGAGCCAAAGACCGGUGGUAGCCCGUUGAGCCAGAAACCGCAGCCUCAUGAUACGGCAUCAAGAGAGUAGCACUGCUUGGGAAUGCAGUGUGAAGCGGCAGGUAUGUGUCUGCCAAAGUUAAAUACAGAGUAGGAAGACCGAUAGCGAACAAGUAGCGUGAGCGAAAGUUUGAAAAGCACUUUGGAAAGAGAGUGACAUAGAACCUGAAGUCGUGACAACGACAAUGGACGUACCUCCAUGACAUUUCGGUCAAGGCCGACCACCUGAGCAUUAUCCUUCGUGUGACGCGUAGCGACGGCGAGGGUAAACUAAGGUGCAGAACAGGGGUUCUGGUAAAACGAGCGGAAGUAAAGUGCAUUCGUCGGCAGCCGAGGCGUAAAAAACCUCGGAGGCCGUGAGGGUGCAUUUUUCCGUGAUGCUCAAAGCUUGACGCAGAGAAUGGGGUGCCUCCACCCGUCUUGAAACACGG